rnacentral:rRNA from 1 species
UCCAGGCCCUACGGGGUGCAGCAGGCGCGAGACCUCCGCAAUGUGAGAAAUCGCGACGGGGGGAUCCCAAGUGCCAUUCUUAACGGGAUGGCUUUCCAUUAGUGUAAAGAGCUUUUGGAAUAAGAGCUGGGCAAGACCGGUGCCAGCCGCCGCGGUAACACCGGCAGCUCUAGUGGUAGCAGUUUUUAUUGGGCCUAAAGCGUCCGUAGCCGGUUUAAUAAGUCUCUGGUGAAAUCCUGCAGCUUAACUGUGGGAAUUGCUGGAGAUACUAUUAGACUUGAGAUCGGGAGAGGUUAGAGGUACUCCCAGGGUAGAGGUGAAAUUCUGUAAUCCUGGGAGGACCGCCUGUUGCGAAGGCGUCUGACUGGAACGAUUCUGACGGUGAGGGACGAAAGCUAGGGGCGCGAACCGGAUUAGAUACCCGGGUAGUCCUAGCUGUAAACGAUGCGGACUUGGUGUUGGGGUGGCUUUGAGCUGUCCCAGUGCCGAAGGGAAGCUGUUAAGUCCGCCGCCUGGGAAGUACGGUCGCAAGGCUGAAACUUAAAGGAAUUGGCGGGGGAGCACCACAACGCGUGGAGCCUGCGGUUUAAUUGGAGUCAACGCCGG